CUCCGAGUGGCCGCCGCAGGAGUGGGCCCACCGUCUCCUGCCUCUGCUGACGGGAGAGGCCCUUCACCUACGCCCAGCAGCUGCGGGACCAGGCAAGGAGGUGGCUGGACCCGGAACAACACACACCGGAGGACAUAGUGGAGCAGGUGGCCCUGGAGAGGUUCGUCGAGGGGCUUCCAACCAGAACAUCUACCUGGGUCCGGUACCACCAGCCCGGGAGCCUCUCGGCGGCCGUCAACAUCGCAGAGGGCCACCUGGCUCCCCCUCUGUCAGACUGACGACCGGUCCCGAGCCCGCGGACCGGUGCCGCAGCCCUGCAGCGGGACACGCCCACCCCGGGACCGAGGGCGAGAUGGGGGGGGGGGUCCCAGUCACGAGCAGGCACAUAGUGCACCUUCCCACCCCAUCCCGCAGACGGGCACUCAGACGGCAGGGGAGGCGUGCUGGCGGUGUGGACGGCCGGGCCACCUUCGGCGGGACUGUCCGUUGAUGGAGGCAGACGCGUCGGAUAGGGGGGUUGGGCGCGGUCCUGACCCAGCAGGUUGAGGGGACCGACCGUCCGGUGCUGUACCUGAGCCGCAAGCUGUCGGACCGCGAGGGUCGGUACAGCACGGUAGAGAAGGAGUGUCUCGCCAUCCGGUGGGCGGUCGGUGCCCUUCGCUACUACCUGCUGGGUCGCCAGUUCACCCUCUACUCCGACCACGCCCCCCUCCAGUGGCUCCACCGGAUGAAGGACGCCAACGCGAGGAUCACCCGGUGGUACCUCGCGCGGCAGCCGUUCAAUUUCCGGGUGGCCCACAGGCCGGGGGCGCAGAUGGUCGUGGCAGACUUCCUCUCCCGUCCCGGGGGGGGGGAGUAGGUUUACGGCCAGAUGGGUCCCAGGCCUGUGUCGGGCGGUGGGGGUAUGUGGCGUCUGGCCUGCAGGGGGAGCAUGGAGCACCGGGUCUGCUGGGGUGAUGGGGUCUGAUUGCGGACAGGUGUCUGCAAUCUGACCCAAUCAGGAAGUGUGUAUUUAUGUGCCUGCUUGUCUUUCAGUCAGGGCUUGAGGUAGGGAGGAGGAAGACGCUCUCUGCGAGCCAGAGAGAGCAUCGUAAAACCAGGAGACGGACGGAUUUGAACAGUAAACCGUUGUCCUUUUGUUCGUAUGUCUUUAAGAUUGUGUAACCAAAGUGGAAAUAAAGAGGAGUUCGCUCCAUUUCCACUACGAACUGUGUCCUGACUCCGUGAACCCGUUACAGAGUGUUUCUCCGAUUUUUCCAUGCUACACAGAACGAAAUGUAAACCCAUGCAAAUAAAGACUUC
ensembl:lncRNA